GCUCCCUACAACGCAGACCAGUACUGGAGUUCGUGGUGCUGGAAGACCGCCGCCCGACUCUGGGCCCCGGGUAGGAAACAACAAUUUCGGACCUCCUGGGGUCUAUGCUAGGUAUGAGGUGUAUCUUUGCCCUCCAUCAAGUAGCAAAGAUGGACAUGUAAACAAAUUUCGACACUGUGAUGACUGCCACAAAAAGCAGCAUUAUGAGGUUGAAUGUAAAAGGAUAACCUUAGCGGCGGCGGGGGCCGGAGGAUGAAGGAAGGCUUCCUGAGGUAGGCGCUGGUUGAAACUGAAGUUGGAGAGAGCAAGUGGCAUUUGCUGAAGUGCAUUUCCGGUAGAAAACUCCAGUGGUCCCUCACCUGACUGAGUGGCGCAGUCAGAGAUAAAUGGAACAGGUACACUGACCAGAAAGGGCAAGAUGGGCUAAACUUCGCCGUUGGGCCACUGGGCUCCCCCGCAGGAUUUU
rnacentral:lncRNA from 1 species